ensembl:lncRNA
CAGAAUUGCACAUCAGAACACCAUGUGAAUCAGUGGAUGUUAAAGAGUUAAUGUUCUGGUUCCGUUUACUGCCUCCUAUGGGCGUUUUGAGUGUUCUGGUGGGAGGGGAGGGGUAGCUUCCCCGGAGGACUUGGCGCCAAGGGCGAGUGAGGUGGAGCUGCGGGCGGGACGCUGGCCGUCUCUCCCCCCUUCCAGGCCGGCUCAGCUCGCUGCGGAGAAAGGCACGUGCUUCGCUCGGACUUCGGGUACUCUUCUCUCUCGUUUUGUUUGAUAUCGUUGGAUUUAGUAAAUUACCGUUCCUCCUCAGGUUGUUGCCGUGCAGUGCUGCAGGACACCAGCCUUGACACACUUCUCCCUUUCCUUGCUGUCCUUCACAUUGUGAAUAAGUGAACCUUUAGCCCUGCAAGCCUUGUACGCAAUUCAAAGUGCAAGAGCCAAUGCACUUGCCAUCAGAAGGACAGAGCAGGACAACUUGUGUUCUGAGGAUGUGAAGAUGUUUGGAGGUGUGAAGAUGGUCAGGAUGAGUCUGAGGACUGUCCUCUGGAAGCAUGUAGAAGAUCUGCAUUCCGGGCUGUCCCUCUCCUUUGGCAGCAUUGCUCCUGAAGAAAUUUAUGAAGAGGAGUUCUUAAACUGAUGUCAGAGUUGCUCUGCCUUGGAGGUGCAGUUGGCUAUUUUGAAUAAAUAUCUUUAAAAAGGACAAAAGAAGUGAACAGCUUUGAACUGGAGCUACAAAGGAAAAUAAAUCAAAAUUAAAAGAGUGCUAAUUAGCUAAGUUGACUCUACAAAUGACUGGAAUUGCACACUUAUUCCCCAUCAUUUGCUCACAUCUCACCGCUGGCUGUGUUCAUGCUUUGAAGGAUCAUGGCAGCGCUGCCUUACUGCUCCAGCCUGGUUCAGAGGAAACACAGAAAAUGAAGAGACAUGGAAAUACUUGUUGUAAUUCUUUCCUGCAUCUUGGAUUCCAUUAGUCCUCCUGAAUUCUCCUUGGUCUUUAGACCAGUUACAGGUUUUUAUUACACCCAGAUCCUUGUCUAGUUCCUUCCCCACUGUUAUUGUUGUUGGCUUCAGAGGUAUUGUACACUGGAUGAAUGGGAGUGGAUAUCUGCUUCUUAGUUAUAUGUGCCUGUAUAACUUUCCUAGCUCUAUUUAAUAGACUAUGCCAACAUAAAUGUGAAUGAUACAAGUCCUUAUAUUGUAAGUUUAUAUAGAUAUGUUUCUUUGGAAUAUCUUCUAUUCUCUUCGUAUGUAUGAUUGAAAUGAAAGCUUAAAAUGGAAAAUGAGUUUCUUUAAGGCAUUCCUGAAGUCUGUUUCACAAGUAAACAGCAGUUCUUUAAAUUUUAUGCCCCUUUUUUUGGAGUGCACAAAACCCCAUGGCUUAUUUUAUCAGUUUAUAGAGAUUUGCUGCUCAAACCCAUCUUCAAAAAUACAAAUAUAUCCAUUCAUUACUUUUUUUUUUUUUUUGUUACAAAUGAAGGCUUUUGUUGAUAACUAUUCAUUUCAGAUACAUUUGUACAAACCAUAAAAGUUCAUUUUUGUGAUUCCUUUAUUCCUUUUAGUAUGCCUUAGGAAUUCAGCUUGAUGCUUUUCAUUUCUCCCAGAUUUAUAUUUUGUCCCAGCAUUUUAAUGUUCUAAUCACAUGAAGACUUGGCAAAACUCCAGCUAUGAGAACUACAGUUCUAGUCCUUCUGGGAAGACUCCUUAAAGUUUAAUGGCAGCAUAAUUUAACUCCCUUUGAAGGCAGAGUUGCAAGUAUUUUUUAAACAAUUUUUUUUUUUUAUUUGCUCUUCUUUGUUGGCAGUGUUUCCUUAGAAGCUAGGAGAUAAAAACUUUUAACCUACAAACUUACUUGAUUUUCAUUUGGCAAUUAUAUUUUCCUUUGUUUCUGCUCCUCAUGGUAGUUGAAAUAUUAGCAUAUUUAUCUUCCCUGAGUACUUACUACUUCAUUACUAUUACAGAAUCAGCAAAAGAAAUGAAUUGAUUUUUCCCCAAAGGUCCUGUAUGUAUGUAAAAUAGAUCUUUCCUUUUAACAAGAAAGCAGGAGCUGAGUCUUCUGAAAUAAAAGUUGUGAAUUGCAAACAAUUGCAAAUCCUGUUGCCGUUAUUGUCACAAGUGGCUCCCAUGAAGUCACCAGACAUCUACAGCUGAUCCAAUCCGCCUGCAUGCUUCUUAUAAUGGGACUGUGACUGCUGUCCAUAAAGGAUGCUUCUGCUCAGUAGCUUCAUCAGUUGAUUUUAUG